rnacentral:rRNA from 1 species
UACAGAGGGUGCAAGCGUUGUUCGGAAUUAUUGGGCGUAAAGCGCGUGUAGGCGGCUUGUUAAGUCGGGUGUGAAAGCCCUCAGCUCAACUGAGGAAGUGCGCCCCGAAACUGGCGAGCUUGAGUGUCGGAGAGGAUGGCGGAAUACCCCAAGUAGAGGUGAAAUUCGUAGAUAUGGGGUGGAACACCGGUGGCGAAGGCGGCCAUCUGGACGACACUGACGCUGAGACGCGAAAGCGUGGGGAGCAAACAGG